rnacentral:piRNA from 1 species
UGGUACUGGUAUAAAAAUAGACAAAUA